GACGAACGCUGGCGGCAUGCCUAACACAUGCAAGUCGAACGAAGGCUUCGGCCUUAGUGGCGCACGGGUGCGUAACGCGUGGGAAUCUGCCCUUGGGUUCGGAAUAACAGUUAGAAAUGACUGCUAAUACCGGAUGAUGUCGUAAGACCAAAGAUUUAUCGCCCAAGGAUGAGCCCGCGUAGGAUUAGCUAGUUGGUGGGGUAAAGGCCUACCAAGGCGACGAUCCUUAGCUGGUCUGAGAGGAUGAUCAGCCACACUGGGACUGAGACACGGCCCAGACUCCUACGGGAGGCAGCAGUGGGGAAUAUUGGAAAAUGGGCGAAAGCCUGAUCCAGCAAUGCCGCGUGAGUGAUGAAGGCCUUAGGGUUGUAAAGCUCUUUUACCCGGGAUGAUAAUGACAGUACCGGGAGAAUAAGCUCCGGCUAACUUCGUG
rnacentral:rRNA from 1 species